rnacentral:rRNA from 1 species
AUUUGAAAUCUGGCCCUCGGGUCCGAGUUGUAAUUUGUAGAGGAUGCUUUUGGCGCGGUGCCUUCCGAGUUCCCUGGAACGGGACGCCUUAGAGGGUGAGAGCCCCGUACGGUUGGACACCAAGCCUCUGUAAAGCUCCUUCGACGAGUCGAGUAGUUUGGGAAUGCUGCUCUAAAUGGGAGGUAAAUUUCUUCUAAAGCUAAAUAUUGGCCAGAGACCGAUAGCGCACAAGUAGAGUGAUCGAAAGAUGAAAAGCACUUUGAAAAGAGGGUUAAAAAGCACGUGAAAUUGUUGAAAGGGAAGCGUUUGCGACCAGACCUUUGCCUGGCGGAUCAUCCGGUGUUCUCACCGGUGCACUCCGCCAGGUUCAGGCCAGCAUCGGUUCUCGCAGGGGGAUAAAAGCCCUGGGAACGUAGCUCCCUCGGGAGUGUUAUAGCCCUCUGCACAAUACCCUUGCGGGGACCGAGGACCGCGCUUCGGCAAGGAUGCUGGCGUAAUGGUCGUCAACGACCCGUCUUGAAACACGGACCAAGGAGUCGAACAUUUGUGCGAGUGUUUGGGUGUCAAACCCUCACGCGUAAUGAAAGUGAACGGAGGCGAGAGCCCUUACGGGUGCAUCGUCGACCGAUCCUGAUGUCUUCGGAUGGAUUUGAGUAAGAGCAUAACUGUUCGGACCCGAAAGAUGGUGAACUAUGCGUGGAUAGGGUGAAGCCAGAGGAAACUCUGGUGGAGGCUCGCAGCGGUUCUGACGUGCAAAUCG